CAGCAGCCGCGGGAAUACAGAGGGUGCGAGCGUUAAUCGGAUUUACUGGGCGUAAAGCGUGCGUAGGCGGCUUUUUAAGUCGGAUGUGAAAUCCCUGAGCUUAACUUAGGAAUUGAAUUCGAUACUGGGAAGCUAGAGUAUGGGAGAGGAUGGUAGAAUUCCAGGUGUAGCGGUGAAAUGCGUAGAGAUCUGGAGGAAUACCGAUGGCGAAGGCAGCCAUCUGGCCUAAUACUGACGCUGAGGUACGAAAGCAUGGGGAGCAAACAGGAUUAGAUACCCCAGUAGUCCCUGUCUCUUAUAC
rnacentral:rRNA from 1 species